AGGAAUAUGGCUCAAUAGUAGAACACUUGCCUAGCAUGCAUGAGGCCCUGGGUUCAAUCCCCAGUGUACCCC
rnacentral:tRNA from 1 species